rnacentral:rRNA from 1 species
AUUGAACGCUGGCGGCAUGCCUUACACAUGCAGGUCGAACGGCAGCGCGGGGCAACCUGGCGGCGAGUGGCGAACGGGUGAGUAAUAUAUCGGAACGUACCCUGGAGUGGGGGAUAACGUAGCGAAAGUUACGCUAAUACCGCAUACGAUCUAAGGAUGAAAGUGGGGGAUUCGCAAGAACCUCAUGCUCCUGGAGCGGCCGAUAUCUGAUUAGCUAGUUGGUAGGGUAAAAGCCUACCAAGGCAUCGAUCAGUAGCUNUCUGAGAGGACGACCAGCCACACUGGAACUGAGACACGGUCCAGACUCCUACGGGAGGCAGCAGUGGGGAAUUUUGGACAAUGGGCGCAAGCCUGAUCCAGCAAUGCCGCGUGAGUGAAGAAGGCCUUCGGGUUGUAAAGCUCUUUUGUCAGGGAAGAAACGGGUUUUUCUAAUACAGAGAUCUAAUGACGGUACCUGAAGAAUAAGCACCGGCUAACUACGUGCCAGCAGCCGCGGUAAUACGUAGGGUGCAAGCGUUAAUCGGAAUUACUGGGCGUAAAGCGUGCGCAGGCGGUUUUGUAAGACUGUCGUGAAAUCCCCGGGCUCAACCUGGGAAUGGCGAUGGUGACUGCAAGGCUAGAGUUUGGCAGAGGGGGGUAGAAUUCCACGUGUAGCAGUGAAAUGCGUAGAUAUGUGGAGGAACACCGAUGGCGAAGGCAGCCCCCUGGGUCAAAACUGACGCUCAUGCACGAAAGCGUGGGGAGCAAACAGGAUUAGAUACCCUGGUAGUCCACGCCCUAAACGAUGUCUACUAGUUGUCGGGUUUUAAUUAACUUGGUAACGCAGCUAACGCGUGAAGUAGACCGCCUGGGGAGUACGGUCGCAAGAUUAAAACUCAAAGGAAUUGACGGGGACCCGCACAAGCGGUGGAUGAUGUGGAUUAAUUCGAUGCAACGCGAAAAACCUUACCUACCCUUGACAUGGCAGAAAUCCUCGAGAGAUUGAGGAGUGCUCGAAAGAGAAUCUGCACACAGGUGCUGCAUGGCUGUCGUCAGCUCGUGUCGUGAGAUGUUGGGUUAAGUCCCGCAACGAGCGCAACCCUUGUCAUUAGUUGCUACGAAAGAGCACUCUAAUGAGACUGCCGGUGACAAACCGGAGGAAGGUGGGGAUGACGUCAAGUCCUCAUGGCCCUUAUGGGUAGGGCUUCACACGUCAUAC